rnacentral:rRNA from 1 species
UACGUAGGGUGCAAGCGUUGUCCGGAAUUAUUGGGCGUAAAGAGCUCGUAGGCGGUCUGUCGCGUCGGAUGUGAAAAUCCAGGGCUCAACCCUGGACCUGCAUUCGAUACGGGCAGACUAGAGUUCGGUAGGGGAGACUGGAAUUCCUGGUGUAGCGGUGAAAUGCGCAGAUAUCAGGAGGAACACCGGUGGCGAAGGCGGGUCUCUGGGCCGAUACUGACGCUGAGACGCGAAAGCGUGGGGAGCAAACAGG